rnacentral:lncRNA from 1 species
AACUAAAAUACUCUGUCAAGUGACUCUCAGGGUCUCACCCUCCUUUAGCUGGAACUGAAUGCCAUCUCAUGCUCCCAGACUCCAGCCACUCAGGGUGUGGGUGAUGACCCGCCCUGCACUGGGUUCUCAGGGUCACGGAUGGUCUCUGUCAUGGAAAGGUUUUUCUGGGCGGAGAAAAGGGUUGGGAUCUGAAAGAUGGGGUCCUCUGCCUGGCAGCAGGAAGGUGGACAAAGGCUGGUGCCCAGGCCUGCGUGGGCUGCGGUGCCAACCAGCCAUUAUCCCGGGGAUGGGGAUGGCGCCUGUCCCCACACCCAGGAGCGGGAUUGGCCCUUUCCUUCCUCCACCUCACGCCCACUUCUCUCUGCCCAUUCCCCUCCCACUAGAGCUGCGAGGCGCCCCAGGUUCAGCUGCCGCUCACCCCAAAAUCUUGUAAACAAUGGGAAGAAAGAAGAGGAGAAUGGAGUGGUUCAGGGAAGACAGCCAUGGAGAGGGAUGGGGGCCGAGUCCUGCCCUGUGCUCAGCCUGGCCUCUGUGAGAUGUUGCCAGGAGCAGAAACUCCUUAGGCAGCAGAGCAGCCAGACUUCUUACAGCCUCCCCAGGGGGACGUGGUGGGUGGAGAGGGCCUCUUGGAUCAGCUCAGAUUGGGAACUUUCCUUGGUAUUCCUUAAGCAUAAAAGGCUGCCUGCCAAGGUGCAAGGCAGAAGACGCAUCGCCUGCCUCACACAGCAGAGUUUUCCAUACUAGGGGUCACAGACCAUUAGUGGGUUGUGAAAUCAAUUUAGUGGUUUACAGGCAGCACUUUGAAACAAGAGCCCCAGUGUAUUGCUUACAGAAAGUGAGUUUUUCUUUUUUUCAAUUGUAUGUACAUGUAUCCAUACCUAUACUUACAUUAUAUCUAAAUAUCUGUACUGGCUGGUGAUGAAAAGUUUACUAGAUUUAUUUCUUGCCGUGGCUUUAGGGUCCCCCAAAAUUGAAAAACAUUGGCCUAGACUAGGACACCAGUGCUGGGCCCAGCUGGCCCUGGACGAGCCCAAAAAGACCAAACCCGCAGCUCAGGGCGUAUUUUGGCCUCGUGGAGCUGACAGCCCGGGAUAGGUGACUAUGUCAUUGGGCCCCGUCUCUCCUUGGUAGGAUGACAUUCGGGGGCCCCUGGAUGGGAAGGACUGUGACAGGAAAGCACCUUAGGGGACUCUGGAUGUAUCUCUAGCUGUCUAAAUGCUGCGGCUCUUCAUCAUGCAUGCGGCUAUUCAUGUUAGCUUCUGAGAUGCACAGACUGGAAAAAGAAAGCCAAGCAGAACCUGAAAGAACUGGUCAAUGGUGAGGCGGGAUGGGAAAACAGGGAUUUGUCAGGAAGUCAGCAGCAUUCUCGGCCAUGUUACUAUUUGAGCUUAGAGGAUGGGCAGGGACAAGCGCUCAUCUUUGCCAAAAGCACGAAAUCCAAGAUCAGCUGGAAGAGUCGGAGGUGCCAGAGAUGGGGACCCUCUUCCCGGCAGAUCAGACUCACAGGGCCCACUGGGAGACCAUUAGAGAAAGCACAAGGGUCUGGAGAGGGGGCCGGCCCUGCCAGAUUCCUCAGUCAAAGCAGGCACUUCUGCUGGCUGCCGGUUGCAUUCGAGAAAGAGGAAAGAGGGCAAGACUUUGAUCCUUCACUGCAGGAAUGCUUCUCAAAUUACUGAGGAUCAGAGAAUGGCGUCCAGAAUGCUAAGAGAGAGGAGAAAGAAUAUGAAUGUGUGUGUGUGUACACAUGAUGCUCCUGUGUGGCUUCUAGCGGUGACAGUGUUUGGCUGGGAAGAUGCGCUGUGUGGGGCAUCCCCGAAUCAGGGUGGUAGGAGAGCUACCCAGAGAGAUGGCACAUUUUACCAAGGAAAAAAUUGUAUGUAUUUAUUAGCACACUGCCUUGAAUAUAUACUACAUACUUCAUUAGAGUGAUUUCACAGAGAUUUCAGAAUUAUUUGUGCUUGUUAAUUGCUGUGGAAACCAGGAAGAGAGUAGUUCAAAGGGGUUGGUCCUCCAGGUGUGGAUAGCGGGUAGAAAUAACUGAAAUUGGGAUUCUAGCAUGGAAGCCCCUGCUUUCGAAACUUAAAGUAUGCAUUCUUCUUUGCUGCUUUCAAAACCCCCUUCAUUUCCCUGCUGACAGAGAACUUUCCCUCAUGUCCCUCCCUCCUCCCUUGUUCCGGCUUCUCAGUGCUACCCAUCUCCCCGGCCUUCAAUACACCAUGAAGAGGGUAGAAAAAUUAACUUGACCCAGAGAAGGGAUGGCUUCCGGGGUCAGUCUAGUCUGGGCUACUUCCCAGGCCUGGGCCUCAGGCGAUUGGAACUUGCAUUUACUUCCGGUUGGUAAUACCAAGAAUGGGUCUAAUGUGACUUGGAUCCAUUGCUGAGCUCAUGUAAGAUAGCAAAGGCCACCAGUGAGUGAGGUGUUUACUUCGUUAUUGUCAUUUCCAUCACCCCUGAGGACACCCUGAAGCAGCAGUGACAGGUGGCCAUUUCUCACAACCAGCACUUGUGAGCCCCCGUGUCGGCUGGCACUGUGCCUGGGUGGGGGAGGGCUGAAGCCACCACCUCUGCCUUUGAGAAGGCUCUGAUCUCGUCGGGGAAAGCAUGGAGACGUGGACUAGAGGACAAUGACAGCUAGGACGAGGCCAAGAAUGCCACUGUGUGAAACCUAAUGUCACCGCUAUUGGCACUUUAAAAUGGGGUGCAUUUUGAAGAUUAAAUUUCUGUGUUGACGGGGAAAACUUUUUGAGACCCUGGGGAACAUCCUUCCAGAUGCUUUAACAACUUUCACAGUGUGGACUUGAGUCAAUGAAACUAUUCCUUACGGGCAAAGAUUCCCGAGAAGACUAGUACUUGCCAGAAACCAGCUGGGCAACAGUGGCACUUUUUAAACUAAAUUAAAAAAAAAUUGAGACAAUCGUGCUUGCCAUCUUUCCCUCUGAUACUCGGUGGUAACUAUGGAAGGACUCAACCAGUGGUUUGGGUCUGUGGUUCCCAAAUUCUGUUCCGGGGUGCCCCAGGGCACUGUGACGGACUCACAAGAGUGCCACGGAAUAUUGAAAGAUUUUCAAAGCGAACACAGUGACAUCUGCCAGGCACCACGCUAUUAAGUUGUUUUGACCUAACUGCCUAUUAAUGGAACUAUCAGGCAUUUCUUUCAGCCCAGGAGUACUGCAAAGCAGUCUUGGGACUCUCAGGGCACUUUGAGCUGAGAAUGUUCGGCAACUCUUUACGGAUUUAGUGUGGUGUCACCGCCUACCCAAUCUGAUGGACACCAGGCAAUAUGCCCGCUCACAGACGUGCCUUCUGCGUAUCCCCUCCUCAGGCUUGUCAUUGGCCAGUUCCUUUGAACUUGCCAUUGCCAAUCUCUUUCUGUAAAAUAGUUGAAUGUUUGGCGUGAGCUUGAUCUUGAUUCACAGCACCCACCUAUAGUUUGGCCCCAGAGGCAGCCAAAACUCACGCCUUUUGGGCUAAGAACGAUCCAGUGAGUCAGUGGCUGUGGUAGAGGCUGUGAGUUUUCAUCCUUGGGGCUGGCCCUCAAACGAUGCACAAAGGUUGCCUUUAGGCCGUCUGAUAAUGGCACCCGCCAACUUCUCCUCCUGGACCGUAUCACAUUCUUCCCUGAAGGUGCCAGCUGGAUCUCUGCUGACCCCCUUCCUCUCUCCCAUCGCCUUCCCCUGCAGGCCCUGAAGAAGCCUCUCCCCCUCUGUGCUCCCCUGUGGAUUCUGCUGUCCCCGGGGCUUCACUCAACGGUUGCCUUCAACUGCCAUCGGAAUUUUCUCUCUCUAAAAUUCUCGGAGGUUGGUGCUCUGGCCCUGCUGCCGGGAGGGCUAUCAGGCCUCAAGGAUGUGGUCCAGACCUUUGUGUGGGGACACAGCAGCUGGCACACUGGGGAUGCUCAGUGAACGUGUGAUGAAUCAACUUAGUAACUGAAUUCUCAGCACGGGUUCUGGGCCAGCCACACCUGCCUGUCCAGACUCCAGGCAAAUGUCAUUGGAAAGUAGCCAGCAUGGAGAUCCCACAGUACCCCUCCCUCUAGUAUUCUGAUAUUCUCUGGAGCUGGGAAGCUGGCAAAAAAAAUAAAUAAAUAAAUAAAUAAUCAAGAUUUUAAAGUUUCAAUGGAUUGUUUUCUGUUUCUUUCUACAUUCUCUCCACAUCCUCUCUGGUGGAAGCCCGCCUGUUUUCCUAGCAUCACUGAAGAAUAUGGCGGCCUCCAUUCCAGCUUGAGGUCUGCCCCUUCCUAGGCAGCCGUGAGCUUUCAGUUGAGACACUUGGCAUCCGUUAAAAGGAGAAUAAUAAAAAACGUCAUAGCCAUCUCACUGGCUAUUUCUUCCAGUUGGUGGGAUAGUGCCUGUAAAAAUGUUUUAAAAACAGAGGAAGUGGCAAAUUGGCCUCCAUGAUAAACAGAACUUGAUGCCACAUUUUCUAAAAGUUAAAAUCUCAAUGAACAGAGCAACCCCUAGUGUUUUAUUUCUCGGGGCAAAUGCUGUGUUGCAUUUACGCAUCUGCAAUGUUUUACCAAGAUCCAAGGGGGGUUGUUAUCUUAAUUAACAGGGAGUCUUUCGUUUAUAUAUAGAACUUUUAAUGUAUUUGGAGCUUUUAAUAGAUUUGCAUCUUGCAACUUAUAGUAUCUCACCCCCUGAAGGAGGUAGGGUGCACAUGGUGGAGCAGCUGAUCCUUAAAUUCCAGCCCCUCCCCAUUCUCCCCUCAACCCUGGGCUGCUGGGUGCUCCUUUGAGUGUAGGAGGUGUCAGAGGUACAGGAAGUACAGCUCCUGGGCCUCUGAUGGCUGCGGGGGAGGAUGACUUUAGGGUCUCAUUCAAAAACUGGCCAUGAGCCCAGCCUGGCACGGGAUCUCUGUCUCUGAGUUAAUGGUGUGGGGGCUCCCAGCAGUGGUUGACCCAAUGGACCAACUCCAUUGUAGGAAAUGUAGGCUCUGCUUCUAUAGUGUCCCAAAUGGGGUGUGGGGUGACAAUGUGGAAGUGACAGUGGUUGAAACAACUCCUACCCUUCAACCCCUAGGGUUGCCUUGGACAGAGGCCAAAGGAAGGAGAUAGGAAUACACAGGGAUUUGUGCUUUGUAUUUUUUUUUUUCAUUGAGAAGGGGGAAUUGUGAGGGAGAAUAAAAAAGGCUGUGGAAAAGGAAGGCUUGUUUGUUUUAAGGGAAAUUAGAGUGGGAUCAGGAAAGACAGUCCUUCCAAAUGAUAUUUAGUUAACACUGGGGCUCUGGGGUGAUAAUGGCUAUUGUUUUUGAGUUCUUAUUAUCUACCUGGCACUGGCUAGGUUCUCCAAUUGGGUAUGGACUUCUCAAGUCACAAACCCCACUGUAGAUGAAAUACCUUCUAUGACUCAAUUUCUAUUCAGGGUUCACAUUUCAUCCAAUAGUAGAAACUUAAUCAAUUCAAGAUAAUUCAGCCAAUCUCAGUUUUCUUAGCAUGCUUGGGAGUUGGCAAAUUUAUUCUUUCCCCAGGGAGUUGCAUCUAAGAUCUGGGGACCUUAACAGACAUUGAGGGGGAGGGGGUGAUUGUGGGAGAGUGGUGGUCUUGAGAGCUAGUCUCCUUGGAUCCUAACCCUGACAAGUUUUGGGGCCUGUGGGACUUCUCCCAGCCACUUGUGUGUGUGUCAUCUCAGCUUCUCUCUCCUGAACCCCCAGGAGGCUGCAGGUCCUCUGGGCCCAUUUCAGCCCUGUGACAGCUUUGCCUUUGGCCGCCUUCCUUUACAGGCGCAUGAGCAAGUUCUUGGGCCUCGCAGCUUGUCUGGGCCCCUCUGAGCCAGCGUGGGCUUCAGAGGCACUCUGCACAGUCCUGCUGUGUUGCUUUCUUCCCAGCCUAGAUGCUGGCCUUUCCCUGGGAACACCUCCCUCUCCGAGGUGCAGGUGUGGAAGUAGGAACAGGGAUGCUCGAGCAAGUCUUCCUCCAAACCCACUUUUAUGCCAGGACUUGGCCUUCCAAUCCUCUCCAAAGACACUGGCUGGUUUCUCUUUGCAUCUCGGCUAGAACAACCUGGCCCUGAAGGCAGGGAGUGGAUGCUGCCCGGACCAAGAGGAGGAGCAGUUAAGACACACGGGCACAUGUUUUAAAGUCUUGUGAUGCCUGCUUGUUCUCUCUGCUUCAACUAUUCUGAAGUAUUUGCUGCAUCCCCAUUCUGUGACUACAAGGCUGAGACACAUCCGGAGGGAUGUUUUUGGUCCCCUAUCAUGAGGUGGGAAGUGGCAGAGGUGGGGUCCAGAGUUAGGAUCUUUUCACUCCAGCUCCCAGUCUGUCCUCUCUACCAAGCCCUGAUCUCUAAAAUGAAAGCCCUCAUCAGCGUGUUCUGUUUCAGGGGCAACAUCGCUCUGCCUUGAGCCUUUCCUCAUUCUUCAGAGCAUUAUUUACAAUAGCCAAGAUAUGGAAGCAAGCAAGGUGUCCAUGGAUAGAUGACUGGAUAAAGAAGAUGUGGUACAUAUACACGAUGGAAUAUUACUCCGCCAUGAAAAAUAACGAAAUCUUGCCAUUUGAAACAACAUGGAUGGACCUAGAGGGUAUUAUGCUAAGUGAAAUAAGUCAGACAGAGAAAGACCAAUACCAUAUGGUUGCACUUAUAUGUGGGAUCUAAAAAAUAAAAGACAUAAACAAGACAAAACAGAAACUCAUAAAUACAAAGAACCUCCUGGUGGUUGCCAGAGGGAAGAAGGUGGGUGAUGGGCAAAACAGGUGAAGGAGAUUAAGAGGCACAAACUUCCAGUUAUAAAAUAAAUACGUCAUGGGGAUGUAAUGUACAGCAAAGGGAAUAUAGUCAAUAAUACUGUAAUUACUUUGUGUGGUGACAGAUGGUAACUAGACUUAUCAUGGUCAUCACUUUAUAACAUACAUAAAUGUCGAAUCAGUAUGUUGUGCACGUGAAACUAGUAUAAUAUUGUAUGUCAAGUAUGCUUCAAUAAAAAAAAGUAGAGCCAGCCACCAUGGCCUAGCGGUUAAAUUCAGUUCCCAGGCAUGGACAUACACCACUCAUCUGUCAAUGGCCAUGCUGUGGUGGUGGCUCACAUAGAAAAAAAGGAAGGAUUGGUAGCAGAUGUUAGCUCAGGGCAAAUCUUCCGAGCAAAAAAAAAAAAAAAAUGGUAAAUUUAAUGAGUACGUUUUAAGAAAAGCAAUUCUCCAGAUUUCUGUAAGAAUUUUCUUAACACGCCUCAAAGGAUCCAGAAGUCCCAGAAGUCCUCAGUCUGCAUCCUCUGAUUAGACUCGCUCUUCCUGAAGCAGCAGUGCUCAAGUUCAUAAAUGAUUUCCUACCCAGUUCUGUUGUGUUGUGAUUUAGUUACUACCUUCCAUGAUUAUUUCCUACUCUUCAAAUGCAUUGUUAUAUUAUUAGUUUCAUAGGUUUCUGUGGGCUAAACUUGGAACCUUACCACAACCGAUUGCAUUAUUUCUUUAGAAGUGUGUUUCGAGUUCCUUAUCCAAUGUCUAGAUGUCUUUUUAGGACUCAUUCUUUUCAGCGGGAAACUUCUUAUGUUUUGAUAUUAAAUUUAGGCAAAUUUUCUCUCUGGCAAACAAUUUGAGAAAAAUGUGGUAUCUUUAUUAUUUUAGCCUAAGAGUUUAGCUCCUGCAAUAGUAUGUACUACUCAAAAAUGCAGGCACGAAGUUUAUAGAGCAGGGAGGAUUAUUAAGAAAAACAGACUAAGAGAAAUGGACAUCUUUCCCCAUCCUCAUCCCAGGAAAGAGAGGCUGGCGCCAUUGGGUUUCUUUAUUAAUGUUUAUUUCCCUUUCCUAAGAUUUCUCUCCGUUAGUGAUUAUUUGCAUGUGUAUCAUAAGGAAGGCCAAAGGGAUUGAAUGAACCUGUGUCCCUUAGUGGCAGAUAGAAUAAAUCAACUUUCAGCAAGUGGUCAGGUCAAGCUGCAGGCCCUUGGGUCUCUAAGGCCCCUGAGAGGAUGAUAGCUGAUGUCUAAGGGGUCAGUCAUCUUCAAGCCCAAGAAGGGCUUCAAGAAGGGUUGAUGAAUUGGCACAACCCAAAGACGGUUUUCAUUUUCUUCCAAGACUGGGAAAGAUGAGUGGGGCUACAUGGCAAGACCAGUGCCCCAUUGGUUGGGCACCAGUGUUUGGCCACAUAUCUGGAAAAUCCAGGCUAGCAUGGAAUUUCACAGACUUCUCCAAAAUUCCAGGGGCACUGAGUAUACUUGAUGGAUAUUUGCACUCACGACGCACCACCCUUAUGCCCUAGAAUCCGUUGGGCUGUUUCAGUGCAUCCUUCCCAGCCCUCCUGAGGCUUUGGUGUGCCUGGGAAUUUACAUUCCCCCUCCCAGCCCAGGAUCUGACCCCUCACCUUUUUUUUUCCACACUAACCAGGGGUUUAAUAGAAAUACAACCAGAACAGAAAAACUCAAAUCAUACAUAAAUCCAAACCAGAAUGCCAAGUGAUCAACACAAAGAGCAGAAUUUUUGACUCUUCAACUCAGUCAGCCCCCAAAUAAAAACCAACAAAGAUAGUGGAUCAAGAGAAUAGAGACAAAGAGUCACGUGAAGCUACAGGAGGAGAGUUGGGGAUGUUAUGUGUGUGUCACAGGGAACAGUCAAAGAAGACCCCAUGGUCAGGGCAGACCAUGGGCCAGGAUGGCCUAGCCGAUAGUGAGAGCCCACCUCCUUUGCCUGCCAAAUGGACAGCUCUGAGGAGGACUUCUACUCCAGAAUUGCCCUGUAGAAGGCAGCUGAAAGUCACCCUCUGGGGGUUUAGUCUGAAAUUGUACCCCUGACUGCCAUCCUCCCAGUUUUUGCCCUGCUUGCCCCGUUCUCUUGUGGUUUUCUCCUGGGAGCUCUUCCUUAGUCCAAUGUUGGGACACAAAUCUUUGUCUUACGGUCUGCUUCUGGGAAACCCUACCUAAGUCAGUGGUUCUUUCUGAAUGUGAGCCACAGUGGAGGGCAUGCUAGUGGUUAGGUCCUGCCUGUCUACUAGUCAACAUGUAGAGUGUUCUUUAAGCAGGACAAUCUUUUGCGAAAAGCCUCCCACCCAGAGACAUUAGUAGUUUCCCUCAUGGGCAUGGAAUUGGGUGGCCAGGACCUAGAACAAAGGCAGGUCCCUAGAUGAGCCCUAAAUAAACAUUGUUCCUGGUGGCCAUGGACUGGCCUCCAUCCUAGGCAAAGGAACCAGGCGAUAGGCAAGGUGAACGUGUAAAUAAUAAAGAGCUAUUGAAGGACCAAAUCCUAGGGUAAAAGCUAACAAAAGGAGUGACAGAGAUGGAGAGACUAAUAAUGGCGUACUUAUUAGAGAUGCUUCCUUGGGGAGCAGUGGUAGCUGUUGUGUCUCCAAAUCAGAAAGUUAUACCGCCAGCACCAUUCUACUCACUAUUGCUGUGUAACAAACCCCUCCCAAACUUAGUGGCUUAGAAUAACAGCAAUCAUUUAUUUUGCUUAUAAGUCUGCAAUUUGGGCAGGGCUCAAUGGGGACUGCUUAUCUCUGCUCCACGUGCUGGUGGCUUAGGUGGCUCAACUGGGGCUGGAAGGCUCACUUCUAGGAUGGCUCGUUCACGUGGCUGGCAAGUUGGUGUUGGAUUUCAGCUCCUUUCACAUGGAUCUUUUCACAGAGAAGAUUGAACUUCCUCACAGUAUGACAUCUAGCUUCCAAGAGCAACUGCCCUAAGAAUCAGGGAGUGGAAAUUGAUGGUUUAAGAUGUUAGCCUGGAAACUGGCACAGCGUCACUACUGCUGUAUUUUGUUGGUCAGUCACAGAGCCCAGAUUCAAGUGGAAGGGUCAACGACCCCAUCUAUCAAUGAAAGGAAUAUCAAUACAUUUUGCAGCCGUGUUUUUAAACUGCCACAAGCAUCUUCCAUCAAAUUGAGGCAGCUGGAAACCUGCGAGUCAUCUUUGCUGCCUCCAUUUCCUUUAUCCCUACGUUUAAUGCACCACUAAGACCUGUUUUUUAUUGUGGUAAAAUACACAUAACAUAAAAUUCACCAAUUUAUUUUUAAUUUUUAAAAAUUUUUAAAUUUUUGGUGAGGAAGAUUCACCCUGAGCUAACACCUGUGCCAAUUUUCCUCUGUUUUGUAUGUGGGAUGCCUCCACAGCAUGGCUGAUGAGUGGAGUAGGUCUGUGUCUGAGAUCUGAACCUGAGAACCCAGGCAACCAAGGAGGAGUUGGGAAAACUUCAACCACUCAGCCACGGGGCUGGCUCCAAAUUCACCAUUUUGAUAAUUUUAAAGUAUACAAUUCAGUGGCAUUUAGUACAUUUAUGACUUAAAUGUAAACCUUCACCAAUAUCUAGAUUCAGAGCAUUUCCAUCAUUCCAAAAAGAAACUCUGGAGCCAGCCCUGAUGGCCUAGUGGUGAAAGUUCAGCACACUCUCCUUCAGCAGCCCAGGUUCACUUCCUGGGUGCAGAACCACACCUCCCCGUCUGUCCAUUGCCAUGCUGUGGCAGUGGCUCACGCGGAAGAACUAGAAAGACUUACAACUAGAAUAUACAACUAUGUACUGGCGUUUGGGGAGGAAAAAUAGAGACAGAGAGAGAGAGGAAGAUUGGCAACAGAUGUUAGCUCAGAUCUAAUCUUUAAAAAAAAACACAACUCUGUAUCCAUUUGUUACUCCAUUCCUCCUACCCCCCAGCCCCUGGCCAUGACAAAUCUGCUUUCUAUCUCUGUGGAUUUGCCAAUGCUGGAUAUUUCAUAUGCUGGAAUCAUACAAUAUGCGGCCUUUGUGUUUGGCUUCUUCCACUUAGCAUAAUAUUUUCAAGGUUUAUCCAUGUUAUAACAUGUAUCAGUAUUUCAUUUCUUUGUAUUGCUGAGUAAUAUUCCAUCAUAUGGAUAUACCACAUUUUGUUUAUCCAUUUAUCAGUUGAUGACAUUUGAGUUGUUCCCACUUUUGGCUAUUGUGAGUAGUGCUGCUAUGAAUAUUUGUAUAUAAGUUUUUGUUUGAACACCUGAUUUCAAUUCCUUUGGGUAUAUAUCUAGGAGUAGAAUUGCUGCAUCAUAUGGUAAUUCCACGUUUAACUUAUUGAGGAACUCCCAUACUGUUUUCCAUAGUGGCUGCAUCAUUUCAACUUACCACCAACAAUGUAUGAGGGCUCCAAUUUUUCCACAUUCUCACCAAGACUUGUUAUUUUCUAUCGUGAGUGUAAAGUGGUAACUUGUGGUUUUGGUUUGCAUUUCCCUAACGACUAAUGAUGCUGAGCAUCUUUUCAUGCUUGGUCUGUUGGUCAUUUGUAUUUCUUCUUUGGAGAAAUGUCUGUUCAAGCCUUUGGACAUUUUUUAAUUGGGUUGUCUUUUUGUUGUUGACUUGUAAGAGUUUCUUGUAUAUUCUGGACACUAGACACUUCCCAGAUAUAUAAUUAAAAAUAUUUUUCUCCCAGUCUGUCAGUUGUCUUUUUUACUGUCUUUAUAGAGUUCUUUGGUAAAUAAAAGUUUUAAAUUUUGAUGAAGUCUAAUUUACUUUUUCUUUUGUUGCUGCUUUUGGUAUUUCUGAAAAUCCAUUGCCAAUUUUUUUUUAUUUUUUUGAGGAAGAUUAGCACUGAGCUAACGUCUGCUGCCAAUCCUUCUCUUUUUGCUGAGGAAUACUGGCUCUGAGCUAACAUUCAUGCCCAUCUUCCUCCACUUUAUAUGUGGGAUGCCUGCCACAGCAUGGCUUGAUAAGCGAUGUGUAGGUCUGCACUCAGGAUUAGAACCUGUUAAACCCAGGCUGCUGAAGCCAAACGUGCGAACUUAAGUCCUGUGCUACUGGGCUGGCCCCUCCAUUGCCAAAUUUAAGGUCAUGAAGACUUACUACUGUUUUCUUCUAACAGUUUUAUAAUUUUAGCCUUUAUAUUUAGGUCUUUGAUCUUUUUUGAGUCAAUUUUUGUAUAUGAUGUGAGGUAAGAGUCUGACUUCAUUCUUUCGUAUGUGGAUAUCCAGUUGUCCCAGGACCGUUUGUUGAAAAGAUGAUUCUUUCCUCAUUAAGUGGUCUUGGUACCCUUGUCAAAAGUCAAUUGCCCAUAGAUGGAUGGGUUUAUUUCUGGACUUUUAAUUCUAUUCCAUCGAUCCAUAUGCCUAUCCUUAUGCCAGUACCACACUAUUUUGAUUACUCUUAGCAUUGUAUUAACUUUUGAGAUUGGGAAGUGUGUAUUUUCCAAUAUUGUUCUUUUUGAAGAUUAUUUUGGCCAUUUGGGGUCCCUUAUAAUUUCACAUGAAUUUUGGGAUUGGCUUUUCCAUUUUGGCAAAAAAGACCACUGAGAAUUUGAUAGAGAUUGUGUUGACUCUGUGGAACGUCAGGGAGUAUUGUGAUGUUAACAAUAUUAAGUCUUCCAAUAAAUGAACACAGGAUGUCUGUCCAUUUGUUUAGGCCUUUAAUUUCUCUGAGCAAUGUUUUGUAGGAUUCAGUGUACAAUUCUUGUAUCUCCUUUGUUAAAUUUAUUCCUAAGUAUUUUAUCCUUUAGAUGCUAUUGUAACUGGAAUUGUUCUCUUAAUUUUCUUUUCAGAUUGUUUAUUGCUAGUGUAGAGAAAUACAACAGAUUUCUGUAUGUUGAUCUUGUAUCCUGUAACUUUGCUGAACUCAUUUGUUAGCUCCAAUAGUUUUUCAUCGAUUUUAUCUUAAAAAGAUUUAAUCUGGGGCCAGCCCGGUGGUGCAGCAGUUAAGUUCGCACGUUCCACUUCGGCAGCCCGGGGUUUGCCAAUUCGGAUCCCGGGUGUGGACAUGGCACCAUUUGACACGCCAUGCUGUGGUAGGCAGCCCACAUAUAAAGUAGAGGAAGAUGGGCACGGAUGUUAGCUCAGGGCCAGUCUUCCUCAGCAAAAAGAGGAGGACUGGCAGGUUAGCUCAGGGCUAAUCUUGCUCAAAAAAAAAAAAAGAUUUAAUCUUAUAUAGAUUUUCUCUAUAUUAGAUCAUGUUGUCUGUUAUCUGCAAGUAGAGAGAGUUUUACUUCUUCCUUUCCAAUCUGAGUGCCUUUUAUCUCUUUUUCUUGCCUUAUUGGACUGUCUAGAACUUACAGUACAGUGAUAAACGGAAGUGGAAAACGUGUUCAUCAUUAUCUUGUUCCUGAUUGAGAGGAAAGCUUUCAGUCUUUCACCAUUGAGUUUGUUAGCUGUGGGUUUUUCACAAAUAUGUUUGAUCACGUUGAGGAAAUUGCCUUUUUUCCUAGUUUGUUGAGUGUUUUUAUCACAAAAGGGUGUUCAAUUUAGUCAAAAAUUUUUUCUGUAUCAAUUGAAAUGAUCAUAUGAUAUUUUCUUUCAUUUUAUUAACGUGGUGCAUUAUAUUAGUUGAUUUUUAUAUGUUGAACUACCCUUGACAUCCUGGAGUAAAUCCUACUUGGUCUUGGUGGAUAGCCAUCUUAAUGUGCUGCUGCAUUCAGUUUGCUAGUAUUUUGUUAAGAAUUUUUGCAUCUGUAUCCACAAGGGCUAUUGGUCUGGGUUUUCUUUUGAUGGGUUUGGCUUUGGUACCAUGGUAAUGUUGGCCUUGUAGAAUGUUAGGAAGUAUUCUCUCCUCUUAAGUUUUUGGGAAGAUUUUGAGAAAGAUUGGUGUUAAUUCUUUUUUAAAGUUGGUUUGGUUGAAUUCAUCAGUGAAACCAUUUGAUCCUGGGCUUUUGUUGUUAUUGGGAAGUUUUUAAGUGUUGAUCCAAUCUCUUUACUGGUUAUAGGUCUGUUCAGAUUUUCUAUAUCUUCUUGAGUCAGUUUUGAUAGUUUGUGUGUUUUUAGGAAUUUCAUUUCAAUUCAUCUAGAUUAUCUAAUUUGUUGCUGUACAAUUUUUUAUAGUAGUCUUUUAUAAUCCUUUAUACUUGUGUAAUGUCCCCACUUUCAUUUAAGUUUUAGUAAUUUGAGUCUUCCUUCUGUUUUUCCUGGUCAGUCUAGCUAUAAGUUUAAUUUUGUUGAUAUUUUCAAAGAAUCAACUUUUGUUUUCAUUGAUUCUCUCUAUUGUUUUCCUAUUCUCUAUUUCAUUUAUCUCCACUCUAAUGUUUAUUAUUUCCUCCUUCUGCUAGUUUUUGGUUUAUCUGCUCUUCUUUUUUUUAGUUCCUGAACAUGUAAAGUUAGGUUGUUGAUUUGAGAUCUUAUUUUUUAAUGUAGGCAUUUACAGUUAUAAAUUUCCCUCUGAGAGCUCCUUUUUCUGCAUCCCAUAAGUUUUGGGAUCUUGUGUUUUAAUAUUCUUUUGUCUCAAAGGAUUUGCUAAGUCUCCUUGUGAUUUCUUCUUUGACCCAUUGAUUGUUUAAGAGUGUGUUGUUUAAUUUCUGCAUUUUUGUGAAUUUUCCAGCUUUCCUUCUGUUAUUGAUUUCUAGUUUCACUGCAUUAUUGCCUGAGAAGAUACUUUGUGGGUAAUUUCAACCUUUUAAAAUUUACUGAAACUUGUUUUGUGGCCUGACAUACGAUCUAUCCUUGUGAAUCUUCCAGGAACACUUGAAAAGAAUAUAUAUUAUGCUAUUGUCGAGGAGAGUGUUUUGUAUGUGUCAGUUAAGUCAUGUUGGCUUAUGAUGUUUUUCAAGUGCUCUCUUCCUUAUUGAUCUUCUGUCCAGUUGUUCUAGUCAUUGUGAAAGUGAGUGUAGUGAAAUCUCCAACUAUUAUUAUAGAAUUGUAUAUUUCUCUCUUCAAUUCUGUCAGUUUUUCUCUUGAAAUAUUUUGGGGCUCUGUUGUAGAUGUAUAUAUGUUUAUAAUUGUUAUGUCUUUUUGAUGGAUUGUAUCUUCAUCAUUAUAAAAUGUUCUCCCUUGUCUGAAGUAAAAAUUUUUGCCUUAAAAUCUAUUUUGCCUUAUUAGUAUAGCCACUGCAGCUCUCUUUUGGUUACUAUUUGCAUGGAUUAUCUUUUUUCCAUUCUUUCACUUUCAAUUUCCCUAUGUGUUUGGAUCUAAAAAGAGUCUCUUGUAGACAGCAUAUAGUUGGAUCAUUUAAAAAAUCCAUUUGGCCAAUCUCUGCCUUUUAAUUGAAAAGUAUAUUAGACAGCGUACUCCAGAGAAACAGAACCAACAGUAUAUAUAUAGUGGAGGCUUGGAAAGUCCAAAAUCUGAUGAAGUAGGCUGGUGGGCUGGAGACUCAGAAAAGAGUUGCCGUUUGAGUCCAAAGUCAGUCUGUUGGCAGAAUUCCUUCUUGGUCAGGUUCGAUCAGUCUUUGUUCUAUCAAGGCCUUUAAGUGAUUGGAUGAGGCCAACUCACACUAUGGAAGGUCAUCUGCUUUACUCAAAGUCCCCUGAUUUAAAUGUUAAACUCAUCCAAAAAAAUACGUUCACAGAAACAUCCAGAAUCGUCUUUGACCAACUAUGUGGGUACUGUGGCCCAGCCAAGUUGACACAUAAAAUGGACCAUCAGAAGUCCACUCCUUGUCAACUUGGCACUCAUACACAGCUCCUUAAAGAAUACUUAAUCUCCAAAUAAAGACAAUAACAAGGUCACACUUCUGCCUAACAUGAUAUAACUAUCCUGCGUACAACCCAAGACAUACUAACACUUUCCUCAGAAGAGAAUGGAAAAGUCCUUGGGUGAUGUUUACUCUUCUUGAUAUCCUGUAACUUAAAUCCUAUGAUAUAAAGUCAAUGCAUCUUGUAUUACAUGAUAAAGGGAUAAGAGAAGGAAGAAGGGCCAGCUCCGGGGCCGAGUGGUUAAAUUCACGCACUCCACUUUGGUGGGCCAGGGUUUCAUGGGUUUGGAUCCUGGGCACGGACAUGGCACCGCUCAUCAGGCCAUGCUGAGGCAGCGUCCCAGGUAGCAAAACCAGAGGCACUCACAACUAGAAUAUACAACUAUGUACUGGGGGGCUGUGGGGAGAAGAGGAAGAAAGAGGAGGGGGGGGGAGGGGGGAAAGGAGAUGGGGGGGGAGGGAAGAAGAAGAAAGAAGAGGAAGAAGAACAGAAGAUUGGCAACAGAUGUUAGAUCAGAUGCCACUCUUCAAAAAAAAAAGAGGGAAGAAAACAAAAAUAUUUGCUUAUUAUACACACACUCAUGUAUGCACACACACACAAAUAGACACACACAGAAACAUAUUGAUAUCAUAAGGAAGAAAUACUCAUGACAAUUACAGUCCUCAUCUCUGUAACUGGUCACGUGGUCUUAGUUGGUAUUUAUAACUAUCUUCUUCUACUAUUUUGUAUUUCCUAUGCCCUUAGCGAGCUCCUGAGCUGAUUAUGGUACUUUACCUGAUAGGGUGACCCAAACCUUUAUUCCUGAAGGGUCUGGGCCAUUAGUAGUCCCUCCUGGAUUGGGUUGCUGUAAUUUUCCCUUGACUUUAAUUAAAGAGCAUGGUAGUACUAAGAGAUGCCCUAAGGGAUCUUCUGGAUUCCAGAAUACUCUUCCUUACCUCCAUUGUGAAGUAGCAGUCCAAUUUAUACCUGGUUGUCAUGAUCAGUUACCCCAGACAGCACAUUAACUCCCUUCUUUUCCUGUUGAUUCAGAAGCCUGAGGACCCCCAAGGGUGGCUAGAUGACAGUCUUAACUUCUAGUUUAAUGGAAUCACUAUUGUGUCUCCUUUGGAAGCGUUCCUCCCUUUGGAACUAAGAUUUCUAGGCCAGCAUAGCAUAAGGUCACGGGGACAGGAAACAAAAAUUUUGCUAGUGGGUCACUAGGAGUGACCUAGGAGUGAUAGUGUGUGGCACCACUCCUAUUUCCACCCCUUGAUUCCUGGACCUGUGAAUCCUGGCUAUGGGAGAAACAGUAUCAUAUGUUGGGUGCUAAUUCAGAGCAUAUACAGCCUGCUGGAGAAUCUUGCCCCAGCCAAACCGACACAAAUUUAACCAUCACACAAAGUUUAAUUCAUUUGCACUUUAAGUAAUUACUGCUAAGGAAGGAGUUACUUUGGCCAUUUUAUUAUUUGUGUUCUACAUGUCUUUUUUGUUGUUGUUCCUCAAUUUCUCCAUUACGAUCUUCUUUUGUGUUGAAUUGAUUUUUUUCUAGUAUGUUGUUUUAAUUCCUUCUCAUUCCUUCUCUGUAUAUUUUUUAGUUAUUUCCUUAGUGGUUACCCUGGGGAUUACAAUUCACGUCUUACAUUUGUAACCAUCUAGUUGGAAUUAACAUCAGCUUAGCUUCUGUAAUACAGAUAUACCUGUGCUUUGCUUUACUGUGCUUUGCAGAUAUUGAGUUUUUCACAAAUUGAAGAUUUGUGACAACCCUGCAACAAGCUAGUCUGUCAGCACCAUUUUCCCCAUAGCAUUUGCUCACUUCAUGUCUCUGUGUCACAUUUUGACAAUUCUCACAGUAUUUCAAACUUUUUCAUUAUUACUCUAUUUGUUAUGGUGAUUUGUGAUUAGUGAUCUAUGGUGUUACUAUUGUCAUUGUUUUGGGGUGCCGUAAACCGCACCCAUAUAAGAUGGCAAACAAUAAAUACUGCGUAUGGUCUGACUGCUCCCCCAACCAGCCCUUCCCCUGUCUUUCUCCCUCUUCUCAGGCCUCCCUGUUCCUUGAGACAGAACAAUAUGAAAUUAGGGCAAUUAAUAACCCUACGAUGGCCUCCAAAUGUUCAAGUGAAAGGAAGAGUCGCACAUCUCUCACUGUACAUCAAAAGCCGUAAGUGAUCAAGCUGAGUGAGGAAAGCAAGGUGAAAGCCAAGACAGGCUGAAAGCUAGGCCUCUUGUGCCCACCAGUUAGCCAAGUUGUGAAUGCAAAGGGAAAGUUCUUGAAGGAAGUUAAAUGUGCUGCUCCAGUGCACACACGAAUUAUAAGAAAGUGAAACAGCCUUAUUGCUGAUUUGGAGAAAGUUUUAGCGGUCUGGAUAGAAGAUCAAACCAGCCACAACAUUCCCUUAAGCCAAAACCUAAUCCAGAGCAAGGCCCUAACCCUCUUCAAGUCUAUGAAGGCUGAGAGAGCUGAGGAAGCUGCAGAAGAAAAGUGUGAAGGCAGCAGAGGUUGGUUCAUGAGGUUCAAGGAAAGAAGCCGUCUCCACAAUGUAAAAGUCCAAGGUGAAGCAGCAAGUGCUGAUGUAGAAGCUGCAGCAAGUUCUCCAGAAGAUCUAGUUGAGAUAAUUAAUGAAGGGGGCUACACUAAACAACAGAUUUUCAGUGUAGACAAAACAACCUUUUUUUUUUAAGAUUAGCACCUGAGCUAACAUCUGUUGCCAAUCUUCUUUUUUCCUUCUUCUUUUUCUUCUCCCCAAAGCCUCCCAGUACGUAGUUGUAUAUUCUAGUUGUAGGUCCCGCUGGCUCUGCUAUGUGGGACGCCGCCUCAGCAUGGCUUGAUGAGCGGUGCCAUGUCCAUGCCUAGGAUCCAAACUGGCAAAGCUCUGGGCCACUGAAGCGGAGCUCGUGAACUUAACCACUUGGCCCCGGGGCUGGACCCGACAAAACAACCUUAUGUUGGAAGAAGAUGCCAUCUAAGACUUUCACAGCUAGAGAGGAGAAGUCAGUGCCUGGCUCCAAAGCUUCAAAGGACAGGCUGACUCUUUUAUUAGGGGCUAAUGCAGCUGAUGACUUUAAGUUGAAGCCAGCGUUCAUUUACCAUUGCGAAAAUCCUAGGGCCCUUAAGAAUUAGGCUAACUCUACUCUGCCUGUGCUCUAUAAAUGCAACAACAAAGCUUGGAUGACAGCAUAUUGGUUUACUGAAUAUUUUAAGCCCACUGUUGAGAGCUACUGCUCAGGAGAAAAGAUUCCUUUCAAAAUAUCACCGCUUGCUGACAGUGCACCUGGUCGCCCAAGAGCUCUGAUGGAAAAAUGUACAAUGAGAUUAAUGUGGUUUUCAUGCCUGCUAACACAACAUCCAUUCUGCAGCCCAUGCAUCAAGGAGUAAUUUUGACUUUCAAGUCUUAUCAUUUAAGAAAUACAUUUUGGAAGGCUAUAGCUGCCAUAGAUUGUCAUUCCUCUGACAGACCUGCCGAAGUAAAUUGAAAACCCUCUGGAAAGGAUCCACUAUUCUAGAUGCCAUUAAGAAGAUUCGUGAUUCAUGGGAAAAGGUCAAAAUAUCAACAUUAACAGGAGUUUGGAAGGAGUUGAUUCCAGCCCUCAGGGAUGACUGUGAGGGGUUCAGGACGUCAGCGGAGGAAGUAACUGCAGAUGUGGUGGAAACGGCAAGAGAACUAGAAGUAGGCGUGGAGCUGAAGACGUGACUGAACUGCUGCCAUCUCAUGAGAAAACUUUAAUGCAUGAGGAGCUGCCCCUUAUGGAUGAGCAAAGAAAGUGGUUUCUUGAGAUGGAGUCUACUCCUGGUCAAGAUGCUGUGAAGGUUGGUGAAAUGAAAACAAAGGAUUUAGAACAUGACAUAAACUUAGUUGAAAAAUCAGUGUCAGGGCUUGAGAGGAUUUUGAAAGAAGUUCUGUGGUGGGUAAAAUGCUAUCAAACAGCAUCGCAUGCUGCAGAGAAAUCGUUCAUGAAAGGAAGAGUCAAUCGAUGCGGCAAGUUUCAUUGUUGUCUUAUUUUAAGAAAUUGACACAGCCACCCAACCUUCAGCAACCACCACCUUGAUGAGUCAGCAGCCGUCAAUGUGGAGGCAAGACUCUCUGCUAGCAGAAAGAUUAUAACUUGCUGAAGGCUCAGAUGAUGGAACAGUAAUUGCCUCUGAGCAAAUCCAAGCACAGAAUAUCGUCAACCCAGGACUGUUCAACCUGAGGCUAUUGCCAUAGAAGAAAUCACCGCGUACCACCACAAGCUGUUCCAGCCGGACCCCUCAGAUGUCGGGAGCCGUCACUUGUGUGUGGUUUCAGAGUAGGAAACAAAGACAGUUGGGAAGAUUCUUUUAGAACCUCAUCUGUUUUCUCCACGCUCACCUAGUGCAAGACACCUUCACCUCUCACGUGGACCACUGCCCCUCUGCCUGGACUCACGCUUCUACUCUGUGUCUUAUUAACACCAAGGAAAAGCAGCUCCUGGCAGGUGAGAGCUGGCUUGGCACUCCCAGCUGGGCCUUGGUGCUCUUCUGUUCAACAUAAACACAGCCUCGAACUCCAACAUCAGCCAAGGCCACUCUGUGACCCUGAUAGAUGACGACAAAAAGAAGACCACUCUGUGAUUAUGUGUGAACAGAGACAACAACAUAAACAAUGUCCAAACCAUAAAAAUGACCAACGAGCCUUCCAUCCCAGCUGAAAAAUGUUACUCCUGCUUCUUUACCAAUCACAGUUUUAGCCUCCCUCUUUCUCCCACCUUCAAGAUGAGAUUUAUUAAGAAAUUCAGUCACAGCAUUCCCCCUGCUUCCUGAAGACAUUGAAUUCAGAGCAAACCCUACUCCUUGCAUCUUGUCCACAAUCCCCUAACAUAAGCCCCAAUGCUGGCACUUCUAAGACCCUUUAGCUGAGAUGCUCCCACAGUUCCCCAUAAUGUCUUCUCCCUCAUUGCAAGGAGGCAGUCAAGCCCUCUUGUUCAACCACAGGUGUAUUCCCAGUGGUCUUGGGCUGGAGGACACUGACAGUACCCAAAUCAGGUUAAGAUACUUUCUUACUCACCUCCCAUGACUCUCAAAGUCAAAAUCAAACCCUUACCCAACGUCUUCAUCCCUUGACGCUGCCCUCCUCUCAGACCUCACUUAUUCACUCCCCAGCAGCGUCAAGGAUCUGCAGUGAGCCAGGCACUUUCUUGGCACAGGAACAUUUCACACUGCUGUGUGAAGAAUGGAUUGGAGCAAGAGGCCAGGGCAGGGGGUAGGGAGACGGCUUACAAGGCUUGUUUAGUCCAGCGAGACGGUGGAGUGGAACUGGAGAGGGAGAAGGGUAAAAUGCAAUGCCCAGCAUUAUGCUGAAUGAGCUCAGUCAGACUGAGAAAGAGAAAUACUAUACGAUCUCACUUAUAUACGGAAUCUAAAACAGCUCAACCCUGAGAAACAGAGAGUAGCAUGGUGGUUAUGCGGGGCUGAAGGGGUGGGGGAAAUGGGCAGAUGUUAGUCAACGGGUACAAAAUUCCACUUAUAGGAUUAACAAGUUCUGGGAAUCUAACAUGCAGC